rnacentral:rRNA from 1 species
UACGUAGGGUGCAAGCGUUGUCCGGAAUUAUUGGGCGUAAAGAGCUCGUAGGCGGUGUGUCACGUCGUUCGUGAAAACCUGCAGCUUAACUGUGGGCGUGCGGUCGAUACGGGCAUCACUGGAGUUCGGCAGGGGAGACUGGAAUUCCUGGUGUAGCGGUGAAAUGCGCAGAUAUCAGGAGGAACACCGGUGGCGAAGGCGGGUCUCUGGACAGUUCCUGACACUGAGGCAACGAAGGCCAGGGGAGCAAACGGGG